AAUGAACGCUGGCGGCAGGCCUAACACAUGCAAGUCGAACGGAUCCUUCGGGAUUAGUGGCGGACGGGUGAGUAACGCGUGGGAACGUGCCCUUUGGUUCGGAAUAGCCUCGGGAAACUGGGAGUAAUACCGGAUAAGCCCUUCGGGGGAAAGAUUUAUCGCCAAAGGAUCGGCCCGCGUUGGAUUAGGUAGUUGGUGGGGUAAUGGCCUACCAAGCCGACGAUCCAUAGCUGGUUUGAGAGGAUGAUCAGCCACACUGGGACUGAGACACGGCCCAGACUCCUACGGGAGGCAGCAGUGGGGAAUCUUAGACAAUGGGGGAAACCCUGAUCUAGCCAUGCCGCGUGAUCGAUGAAGGCCUUAGGGUUGUAAAGAUCUUUCAGUUGGGAAGAUAAUGACGGUACCAACAGAAGAAGCCCCGGCUAACUCCGUGCCAGCCGCCGCCGUAACAC
rnacentral:rRNA from 1 species